rnacentral:lncRNA from 1 species
AUGUCAAUAUCGUAGUCCAAAGAACAUCCGUAUGACAACCUACAAGAUGAAGUCAUGCACAUAUGUCAAAUUUUGGCACACAAUAAAUAAAGGUUUUCCAGUUCUUGGCACACGAUAAAAUUGGAGGAACACAUAGAAAAUCUUCAAGCAGGGAGACUCACAAAUCUUAUUUUGUGCUAUGCACCGUGUUAUGACAUUGAUUUUGAACAUGUAUAUGCAGUACUAGCUGGAUGGACUAAUAGAUACAGUAGGAGGAUUGUUCCUGUCAGAACACUUCUAAGUCUGAGAAAGGAAAAUCUAGCAGUAGUCAGAAUGGGGAUGAACGGUUGUUGCUGUCACCGAAGUCAUGCUGCUUUUCAUGCUACAUCGGGAUUGUGCUUGAUGGGAUCGAUUGUCAGGAAUGAUGAGGGCCUGGUGUUUCUGUCUAUAGGUCACGGCAUCGGAACCUGCAACAGCAUUGAUGAAGCCGAGGGUACCGCGCUUCUGGUCGAUCUGAAGGAACUAGCGAGCUGUUAAAUGGUGCACCGUGCAAUCAGUAUCGAGUUAGACUGUCGGUUGUUGGUGCAGGGUCUGAAACAAGAUACGACUAAUAGGUCCAUGAUGCUCUCUGUUUUUUCUGACACUAAAGAGGCCCUGAAGCACUUGCUCACAAGCUUGGAUCGGUAGGGACCAGAACAAGCUUGCUCACAAUCUUGCAGAUAGAGCUAGAAGACAAGAGAUCUAUUAUGGCUAUCGGACGUGGAAUUAAGAGAGCUCUUACAUGCUGAAUGUAAUCCGGGUCAUUUUGUGUAUGAUUUUUUGAACAACAAGCUUAUCGGAUCAGCUACUUCUGCCUAAAUCAACCAAAUAAGUACAGAGUUAUCUUAUGUUAUUUCAAGGUAGAACCAAGGAGAUUAUUAAAUUAUUUCCUCCUUUAUUAACAGAACACACAGAAAACUAUUUUUCCAUGCAAAAAAGGUAUGUUGAUUAUCUAGGCUUCUCCUGAAGGAUAUCUAUCUACUAUUCUAUCACUCCUUUGAAGUUAUUUCUUUUACUUAGUGAUUCUGCUGUAUAUCAAAUUAUUUUUUAAUUCUAGUAGUUCUUACUUAGUAUAUGUUCCUUUUUGAUAGACUGGAUUGGUGGAAGGCCAAUCGUGCUAAGAGAAGACCCAAUGUUGGUCAAAGAACAAACUUCAAUUCAAGACCAAGUUAUAACUUUGGUUUGCUUUCCUGAGUUUAAUUCUAGUGGAAUAUACCCCAAAAUGGAUCCAAUGUUUGUGUCACCAAAGCCACAAAAUUUCAUGGUAAAUAUAGACUAUGUUUGUGUCAUCAGGGCAUUAGAAAUCAAUUUGAACAACUCAUGUCCUGGUAUGAUGUAUUGCAAACCUACCGUAAGAGACCCGAAUAGUGAACAUAUUGCAACAUAUGCGAGCAUUUUACUUUGCUCGGUAUGGUGAACAACCCAUAACAUUAAAACAAGUGCAAGAUCUAUAGCCAAGCAAGAAUAGACUAUGAAACCUGCCAGCACAGAUUAUAGUUGCAUGUCAAAAAUGGAUUUGAUAACAUAAAUAUUUUACUGAAAAAGUGGGAUAGAAAACAUAACCACAAACAUAAAGAAUGUUGCACAAAGGGAAACUACUUCCCUUAUAUACUUUCUUGGUGGUGUAACACCAUAUACUUUUUAUGGAAGUAUCACACAGAUAUAGUGCAUAUAAACAUAGAUGGUAUUAACCUAAAAAGCACGGACACGGCGACACGGACAGGGCGACACGCAUAUGGGGACAGGGGAUACGGCUUUUUUCCAAAAAUAGCCCAUCGGGGACACGUCAAGUAUAUAUAAAAAAUAAAUAUAAAUGUACAUGUAAUAUGCAGUUAAAGAUAG